rnacentral:rRNA from 1 species
UGGGGAAUAUUGGACAAUGGGGGCAACCCUGAUCCAGCGAUGCCGCGUGAGUGAAGAAGGCCUUCGGGUCGUAAAGCUCUUUAGGUUGGGAAGAAGGGUGUAGUAGGAAAUGAUUACACUUUGACGGUACCGACAGAAUAAGCACCGGCAAACUCUGUGCCAGCAGCCGCGGUAAUACAGAGGGUGCGAGCGUUAAUCGGAGUUACUGGGCGUAAAGGGCGCGUAGGCGGUGAGAUGUGUGUGAUGUGAAAGCCCCGGGCUUAACCUGGGAAGCGCAUCGCAAACUAUCUGACUGGAGUAUAUGAGAGGGUGGCGGAAUUUCCGGUGUAGCGGUGAAAUGCGUAGAGAUCGGAAGGAACGUCGAUGGCGAAGGCAGCCACCUGGCAUAAUACUGACGCUGAGGCGCGAAAGCGUGGGGAGCGAACAGG